AGGUAAUGGCUCACCAAGGCGACGAUCUAUAGCUGGUUUGAGAGGAUGAUCAGCCACACUGGGACUGAGACACGGCCCAGACUCCUACAGGAGGCAGCAGUGGGGAAUAUUGGACAAUGGGGGCAACCCUGAUCCAGCCAUGCCGCGUGUGUGAAGAAGGCCCGAGGGUUGUAAAGCACUUUUAGUAAGGAGGAAGGUUAGAUAGUUAAUACCUGUUUAGCUUGACGUUACUUACAGAAAAAGCACCGGCUAACUCUGUGCCAGCAGCCGCGGUAAUACAGAGGGUGCAAGCGUUAUUCGGAAUUACUGGGCGUAAAGCGCGCGUAGGCGGAUUGUUAAGUCAGUUGUGAAAGCCCUGGGCUCAACCUAGGAAUGGCGAUUGAAACUGGCAGUCUAGAGUUUAGUAGAGGGAAGGGGAAUUUCUGGAGUAGCAGUGAAAUGCGUAGAUAUCAGAAGGAACAUCAGUGGCGAAGGCGCCUUCCUGGACUAAAACUGACGCUGAGGUGCGAAAGCGUGGGGAGCAAACGGGAUUAGAUACCCCGGUAGUCCACGCCCUAAACGAUGUCAACUAGCUGUUGGUCUUAUUAAAAAGAUUAGUAGCGCAGCUAACGCGAUAAGUUGACCGCCUGGGGAGUACGGUCGCAAGAUUAAAACUCAAAGGAAUUGACGGGGGCCCGCACAAGCGGUGGAGCAUGUGGUUUAAUUCGAUGCAACGCGAAGAACCUUACCAUCCCUUGACAUCCAGAGAAGUUUCCAGAGAUGGAUUCGUGCCUUCGGAGCUCUGAGACAGUGCUGCAUGCCUGUCGUC
rnacentral:rRNA from 1 species